rnacentral:rRNA from 1 species
UGAAGCCUGCGUUUCAUUAGCUAGCAUGGAUAGGAGCUAAUGGCCUACCAAGGCAACGAUGAGUAACUGCGCCUCUGUAGAGGAUGAUCAGUCACACUGGAACUGAAACACGGUCCAGACUCCUACGGGAGGCAGCAGUGGGGAAUAUUGCGCAAUGGGCGAAAGCCUGACGCAGCAACGCCGUGUGAGGGAUGAAGGCUUUCGGGUCGUAAACCUCUGUCAGAAGGGAAGAACGGGUAUUGGUCUAAUAGGCCUUUAUUUUGACGGUACCUUCAGAGGAAGCACCGGCUAACUCCGUGCCAGCAGCCGCGGUAAC